GGACUUGAUGAUACUCCACAACCGAAAUCCAAGGCUGCUGCUAGGUGGAUUGUUGUUAAGUGUAAUAGACAAAAAGGAAUCACUGAAUGUGGCUACUACGUGAUGCACUAGAUGUCCACCAUAAUCUUAGGAUCUUUCAGGAAUAAUUGGGAGACGUAUUUUAAUGAAGUUAGACCAUUGGAAGCAGAGAGAUUUAAGGCACUUUGCAUACAGUGGGCACAAUAUUAUCUAAAAGUUAGAAAUCAAACAUAGGAUGUUAGGCAACUAUGUAACUUUAGGUUAAUAAAUUAGUUUACGUACUUUGCAUUAUAUUUUUUACAAUUGUUGUUUCAUCUUAACAUUGAACAACCUUUGUUGAUAGCUAGUUUUUUGCUAAAAUCUAUUUGAAAACUGAAUGCAAAUGAUAUAUGUUGUGUGC